AUUGAACGCUGGCGGCAGGCUUAACACAUGCAAGUCGAGCGAGCGGCGGACGGGUGAGUAAUGUCUGGGAAACUGCCUGAUGGAGGGGGAUAACUACUGGAAACGGUAGCUAAUACCGCAUAACAUCAGAUGUGCCCAGAUGGGAUUAGCUAGUAGGUGGGGUAAUGGCUCACCUAGGCGACGAUCCCUAGCUGGUCUGAGAGGAUGACCAGCCAACCUGGAACGGAGACACGGCCCAGACUCCUACGGGGGGCAGCAGUGGGUAAGAUUGCACAAGGGGCGCAACCCUGAGGCAGCCAUGCCGCGUGUGUGAAGAAGGCCUUCGGGGUGUAAAGCACUUGCAGCGAGGAGGCGUUACUCGCAGAAGAAGCACCGGCAAACUCCGUGCCAGCAGCCGCGGUAAUU
rnacentral:rRNA from 1 species